rnacentral:rRNA from 1 species
GUAGUCUCGCACAGAUGCAUAUCAAUAAGCGGAGGAAAAGAAACUAACAAGGAUUCCCCUAGUAACGACGAGUGAAGCGGGAAGAGCUCAAAUUUGAAAUCUUAAAGGGUUUCCCUUUACGAAUUGUAGUUUAAAGAAGUGUUUUCUGUUGAGGUUUUGGUAAAAGUUCUUUGGAAUAGGACAUCAUAGAGGGUGAGAAUCCCGUAUUUGACCUUUACUUUCAACUUUGUGAUACACUUUCAAAGAGUCGGAUUGUUUGGGAAUGCAGUCCAAAAUGGGUGGUAAAUUUCAUCUAAAGCUAAAUAUUGGCGAGAGACCGAUAGCGAACAAGUACCGUGAGGGAAAGAUGAAAAGAACUUUGAAAAGAGAGUUAAACAGUACGUGAAAUUGUCAAAAGGGAAGCGUUUGACACCAGUGUUGUUUUUCUGAAAAUCAAUUAAAGAACUGUUUAUGCUAAGUUGUUUAGACUUUAUCAGCUAUCUGUUUAGUUUUGAGCUUUUCUUUAAUGCACUUCUCAGUUAACAAGUCAACAUCAAUUUCUUUUGCUGUAAAAAAGCUUGAGGAAGGUGGCUUGAGAUUCGUCUUAAGUGUUUAUAGCCUCUUGCCUAUGCAGUCGGAGAGAUUGAGGUCUGCAGCGUAGAUCCUUCGGGGCUAAAUGCAUUUGUGCUAAGUUAUAACAUUUUAUAGACAACUUGUUGACUAUGAUUUGUCUUGUAGCUUACUCGCUUAUGUUAUUUUACCUACGCUUAGGAUGUUGAUCUGUAGUGCGUGCGC